rnacentral:rRNA from 1 species
GACGAACGCUGGCGGCGUGCUUAACACAUGCAAGUCGAACGGAAAGGCCCUGCUUUUGUGGGGUGCUCGAGUGGCGAACGGGUGAGUAACACGUGAGUAACCUGCCAUUGACUUUGGGAUAACUUCAGGAAACUGGGGGUAAUACCGGAUAGGAGCUACUGCUGCAUGGUGGGGGUGGGAAAGUUUCGGUGGUUGGGGGUGGACUAGCGGCUUAUCAGCUUGUUGGUGGGGUAGUGGCGUACCAAGGCUUUGACGGGUGGCCUGCCUGAGCGGGUGAGCGGCCACAUUGGGACUGAAAUACGGCCCAGACUCCUACGGGAGGCAGCAGUGGGGAAUAUUGCACAAUGGGCGGAAGCCUGAUGCAGCAACGCCGCGUGCGGUAUGACGGCCUUCGGGUUGUAUACCGAUUUCGCCUGUGACGAAGCGUGAGUGACGGUAAUGGGUAAAGAAGCACCGGCUAACUACGUG